UGUAUUUUUGUAGGGCCAGGGUUUUGCCACGUUGCCCAGGCUGGUAGCUCCUGGGCUCAAGCAAUCCUCUUGCCUUGGCCUCCCAAAGUGCUGGGAUUACAGAUGUGAGCCACCAGCCCAUUACUUUUUAUGGUGCUCCCACACUUACCCAAAACUUCAGCACGUCCGUCCCUGGUCUCACAGAGUCUGCCAUCAUUGCCCACCAGUGACUUGCUGCAUUGCACUGUUGGUCCCUGAUCCAGAAUGAUCGCCCAAGGCCUCUGACUCAUGUUUUUACUGGGGCAGAUGGAUUGUGGGGCAUCAAGGUGGGAGAAAGACAAAGCAGCAGAGAAGCAGGUAAUGGGAAUGGAAGCUGUGUGAGUGCCAAGUUGCUUAACUGGAUGUUGGGAGUUACCUAUUGCAUUUCUGUCUUUCUUAAACUGCAGUUAUUUUUGAAUUAUAAUUUGGCUAUAAAGAUCAUGGAUGGGCUAGGCACUCACGCCUGUAAUCCCAGCACUUUGGGAGGCCGAGGUGGGCGGAUCACCUGAGGUCAGGAGUUUAAGACCAGCCUGGCCAACAUGUAAAACCCUGUCUGUACUAAAAAUACAAAAAUUCGUUGGGCGUGGUGGUGCAUACCUGUAAUCCCAGCUGCUUGGGAGUCUGAGGCACGAGAAUCCCUUGACCGUGGAAAGCGGAGGUUGCAGUGAGAUCAUGACGCUGCACUCUAGCCCGGGCAGUAGAGUGAGACUCUGUCUCCAAAAAAAAAAAAAAAAAAAAAAAAAAAAUGAUGGAUGAAUGUUUUAAACGAGAUGUUCCUGAUUUUCUCAGUUUUCUGUACUUGCAUUUCAAGUGGUGAUUUCUGAACCUGCACAAUUUCAACCAGGCACUCAAUCACAGGCGUAUUGCAAGGGAGGGGUUUAUAGGUCUGUGCUGGGACUUGUUCUGCACUUCUCCACCCUUUCCAGGAAUGGAAGGUCAAGUAUAUGUUGUAACUUAUCCCUCAGGAUCCCGGGAGCCUUACUUCUGACUCUUCUGGGGCCCAUUACAGGAAAGCCUGACUAAUUAGGAACUGGAUUGAGUAUGGGGUGGGGUGGGGUUCAGUGCUUAGUUAUCUGUUCACAGAAGUGGGAAGGAGAAAUCUGUCUACUUUGUUUUCUUUGCUGAAACAACCAUCCAAGGAAAUCUUUUAAAAUCUUUCCCAGAAAAAGAUUUUAUUUAUGAUGGAGAAUACUGAUUAUUUGUCAGCAAUUUAUGUUUACAUAAAAAUACAUUUAAUGAUUAAAAUGAUUGCCUUCUCCUAAUCCAGUCAUUCCCAAUCUUUCUGAAGUUUCAGUACCUUGGCCACAGAUUGACCAAUGUUUGUAUCUUUGUUCUUAACGUUUCCUAACAGCAUAUUUUAAACUAAACUGAUGUAAAGCUAUCUUUUCCUUGAAUUUCUGAGAAUUCUUCGACUUCUGAGGUAGUUGGUAUAAUACUUGGGCUCUUACAAAACCAGGAUUGGGAAUCCCUGCUGUGGAUCUGUCAUCUUUGCCGUUUCUUCUCCAAUAUUCUUAUCCCUCACAGAUGACCUUUCACCCCUCCUCGAGGUUUUCUGGUUUCUGUUCUUUCUCACUCUGCUUUUUCAUUUCUAGUACUUCAUAUCCAAUAAGCUCAGUGGUUGUAGUGGAUCAUUCCCUUGAGGUGACACAAAACCUGUUUAUUAUCAACAUGUAGUGAUUUUUUUUUUCCCAUUAAGAUUGGCUACGAAAUAAAGUGUGAAAUAUGCCAGACAUCCUGACAGUAAAGGUUAGCUCAGUUGCUAGUCAUUGUCUGUUGCACGUCUGACUGGAAAAUUGGAACGUCAGCAUUUGCUGCUUGGUAUGAGUCCAGUUUAAAAACCAAUGAUGAAUUAGGCAGUGGCAGGGUUCCUUGGCAGUUGCUUGGAUCACAAGCCUAGACUUGAAGGUACCCUCUAAACUUUCUCCACUCUCAUUCCUGUAGCAGCCACUGCAGCCAACCAAAUCCGCGCCCCACCCCUGACUUCCCACGUGGAGCCGAGUGUGCCAGGUAUACGUCACAAGGCCAUGCCCGGGGUCAGGCAGCAUCAUGUGGCCUUCCCCGAUCCACCCUUUGGCUCUGUCUGUCCCAGCCCUUCUCUAGAAAGUAGUGUCCCACUUCAGGUCACCAGCUGCUCUAGGAGCAGAGGCUGCACCCUUUCAUGGACACUAAUAACAAAUAACAAAUAUCUCAGAAGGGAACAUAGGAACUGCAUUAUUUGGCUUUUCUGAUGUUGGGCAGAUCAGUGAAGGAUGCUGUUGUGCUCCAGUCACUGACAUUUUUCAUAGAACGUUACCCCAGAGUACACAGAAAUGAUUCCAAAAAAUGUGGAAGUCUUUGCCUAGUAAGUCACUGCAGCAGUGCUGAAAUCUGAAGAAAGGAAGAGCAGUUCAUGAAUGCUCAUCUCCACGUUAUUCAUUGGGCCGUCCUAACCUCCCUGCUCCCAGAGAAUACCAGAUGGCUUUACAAUUGAGGUGGUUCAAACGCAGAAGGCCCUUUUUCCUUUUAUUAAUUGCUCAGUUAUCCGAACAUUGGCCCCCACACCUGCCACCUGGCCAGCGCGGCUUCUGCCUCCCUCAGCACUGCCAGGUGGGGGUUUUCUUAGACUCAUCCUCUGGACCACCUUCAACUCCUCUCCCUCCCUCUGCAUUAACAUCCAGGCCACCCUCAUUAGUCUUUGGCAACCUAGCUUGGGCUGGCCUCCCCAGCCAGCCUUCCAGACUGUUCUUUCUCUCCCUUGCAGCCUGUCUUGCACACCACUGUGACCAGGUCCGUCUUUCUGAGAAUACCAUUUCCUCACAUCAUGGCCCUGUUUACAAAGCUGUUUCCCAUUUGCCUAUCACAUCAGAUCAAAUCAGAACUCUUCGGCUCUGGAUUGAAGCCGACGCCACUGUUCCUGGCAAGCCUCGUUGCCCUUCGAUCCCGGCGUUGGCCUCCGUCCCUGUCAGGCCUCGCACGAUGCUGCUCUCUGGCGUCCUGCCAUCUCCAGCUCUGCCUGCACGUUGCUCCUGCAUUUCUCUCCACCUCAUAAGACUCUUAUUCCACGGCUCUGGCCAGUCCAAAGCACACAUGGCCCAGUUAGCUCCCUUUUACUUGAAAUGUUCCCUGAGGAGCCCCUAGGUAUUUUUCUUGACUCACCAGAGACUUGUGGUCAGGGCCACACUGAUGUCAUUUGGGAAUUAUUUGCAAAGUCACAGCUCUGGACUUCUCUCUCCAGCUAAAUCAUGAGUUUCUCAGCUAAAUCACAGGCCCACAGUUCCUGCUGCAGCUGGUAAACACUUGCAGUCACGGAAGGAAGCCUUUUUCGGUUCUCAGCUCUGCCAAGGAACUUAUUUCAUGUACACGAAACCACAAACUGUCAGAGGAUUGCUGCCUGUAUCCUGUUCCCCCUCAUCUUUUUUUUCUUUAAAAAGAUGGUAAAGCUGAUUAUAAGAAUUUAAGUAACAUGGCCUUAGAACUACACUCUGACUCUGAGCCCUGUGUCCUGCCCACAGCACCAGGCCACGAAGACGUACCACGUCACUACCCUCACAUUUGCUUGUAACUUAGGAGGCUUGCUAAUAAAAUCGAUGGUAACAGUGGAUGUACUUCUCUUUUAGUACGUUUAUUCUAUUUCCUUCUCCCAUUUUCUUUAUUUGUUGAAAAGAAUGUGCUGAUUGAGAAGCCAAUAUUAUUAACCAUUUUCCCCAUCUGUCACGGUUCUUUUGCACAGCACUGGAUUAGGCCGGGGGACUGGCCUAACUCUGCAAAUAUCAGGAAGAAGAUUCUUCUAGGGAAAGUCUUACUAAUCUGAGUUGAUCACUAGAAAUACAUGGUCUCUACCUAAAGGACGCUUUGUCACUUAAAAUGCCGAGUAGUUGUCAUAAUGUAAAGACACCUCCAUUGUCAUGCAACCAUUUGCACCUAGACAUUGUGCCUGGUUGGCACUUCACAUUUUAUCAUUGGAUUCUUACACCAGCCCUCCAAUGUGAUGAAACCAAGGCUCCUAGGUGCUAAGUGACAUUCCCCUAGUCAUGCAGCCUAGUGGUAAAGCGGAGAUUCAAAUCUAGUUUUUGUUUUCCUUUGAGCUGGAGCUGCAAUUAAAAAAAAAAAAAGAAAGAAAGAAAAAACAAACCUAGUUUUGUUUGACUCCAGAUCCUGAGCUCUCCACUGUGGGCCAUCGUAGCCUCUUUUCCUCUAGUAUUUGUGUGUGGUUUUCAAGGGCUAAGAACGAUCCUCUAAUAAGUCAGUGAAAUUGCCACACAUGACAACAGCAUGUCUCAGCCUCUGAGGCGAGCUGGCACAAGCUCCAGGUUCUGUGAUGACACCUCCCUCCUGGUUUGGGGGCAGCUGCCUAAAGGAGGCAGCGUGGGAUCAUCCUCACCCUUCAGGUGCUAGUCCGUGUCAGUGGGGCCGUACACAACUCUCCUUUGCUCUGUGUUGUUGAGUCUUCCUCAGUCAGUAAAGUGACCCACAGAUUAUUUUCAGUAAGACACCAUGCUGUGUGCUUAGAGAGAAUUAAGCCAGUGAUUAGGCCUGCCAGAAACUGGUCAUCUUGCUGAACAGGUGAAACGGAUGCAUAAAGAGUAACAGGGCCGGGCUGGAGUGGUGUGGACAGGAAGUGCUGCAGGAGCUCAGGUGAGCGGGAGACCUCAAACUUGCGUUUGAACUGGACCUUACAGGAUGGGUAGGGUUUGUAAGGCAGAGAGAAAGAACAUUCCUGAACAACCAUGGAUGAAGACAUCGAAGAGCAAUGAGAAAGCCCGUUUGUUGAAGCAGGGUGUGUGCACAAAAGUGACUUGAGAGAUGGCUGUUCAGAAGUGAUGCCAAAUCAUGGAUGGGGUUAUGUCUUGUGUCAGGAUUUUAUCUGAGGGAAGCCGCUGCUCGUGUGAAAGUUCUGAUGAGAAUGGUGUUCCAGGAGGAUGGUUAAUCUGCCAGCACUGUGUGAGUUGGGGCAGAAGGGAGAGUCUAAGGCAAGGGAGACCUGGGAGGCUGUUACAGGGGCCAGAUGCAGGGUGUGCCUGACCCUCCAGUGGUGGCUGAGGGGAGACAUUACAAAGCAUCUUUGUUAUUUAACUGGAUAUUCUAAAGAAAAUGGUAAAUACGGAGGGAGAAGUCAAAGAUGACCCUGAAGUUCUGAGCCUGUCUGAGGAUGCGGGUACCAUUGUCUGCUGUAGCAAAAUCAAGAUAGGGACUUCCCCUGGGUUAAAAGAGUUUACCCUUUUCCUUUAAUCUGUAUGGUGGCUUAUUCUGAUAGAAAAGACAUUACUUCCAGAUCAACAGUGUUUUUCCAUUAAGAAGUGUUCCGAGGCCAGUUACAGUGGCUCACACCUGUAAUCCCAGCACUUUGGGAGGCCAAGGUGGGUGGAUCACUUGAGCUCAGGAGUUCAAGACCAACCUGGGCAACAUGGCAAAACCUGGUCUCUACAAAAAUGAGUCAGGUGUGGUGACUUGCACCUGUAGUCCCAGUCACUACGGAGGCUGAGGUAGGAGAAUCGCUUGAGGCUGGGAGGCAGAGGUUGCGGUGAGCCAAGAUCCGAGAUUGUGCCACUGCACUCUAGCCUGGGUGACAGGACUUCUCUGUCUCAAAAAAAAAAAAAAAAAAAAAAAAUGUUCCAAGAACUACCUCCUCAUCAAUCAUGAACUUAGAGCAGUAGGGCGUAUCACAUGGUAAUCCUAGAAAAUUGCUCUCCUGGGUUCCAGGUCAUACAGUCCAGUGUGGUAGAACUACUGAAUUUACUGUGUGCAAUAGGAGUUGGAAUAGCGUGCUAGAAAUCGGUGAGGUCUUCAUUAAAAUAUUUAUUUAUUGGCCCUCAGUCCAGAUGACCCAAAUCUUUAUUAUUUUCUUCAGUAAGUAAUGUUUUAGGGGAAAAAAUUUAAACCACCCUUUUUUGGUGGGGGGACCGCUACUCUCUCGGGUUAUACUUGAAUUUCAAAAUAGGAUGGUGCAUAUUUUUAUAGGCCUACUGGCUAGAAGUGGUACAAACAGAUAUUCAUGAGUUAUAAGUGCCACUGAAGUGUGGCUUAAAUGUGAAUAACGGUUUGGUGCCUGAUAAUUUAGGAGAUGAGGUGUAUGAGUCAUGUGGUAGUUUUUUUUUUUUUUUUUUUUCUUUUCCUGACCCUUUUUUGUAAUUUUAUGAUGUCCCACAUCAGUUAAACCCUGAGUGGGGGAGGAUACAACUUGUUUCUGCCCCUGGUGACUGUGCUUAUGUGGUGUGUAUUUGUGA